CUCAGGGUCUGCUCUCCUGUCCUCGGGGUGACCAGCAGGAUGGCUCUUCCCAGCCUCCUGUGCUGUGAGCAGCAGCCCCGUCACCGAGCUCUGGCCCCUGGGGGCUGAGUUCAGUGACGUGCAGGCUGAUCCGUCUAUGCUCCUCCACCUCUUUCUUUAUCCACCAACUGGAAGCUGCCGUUGCAAUGAAGCUCAGGGACACGGUGGAACCACAAGAUGGCAGGAGCCUGAGGUGUGAAUGACUGUGAGGAAGGAGAGCCCCCCUCCCCCUAAGGCUGCCCUGACCACGAACCCCAAACUAUUGUGUGAGCAAGAGACUCUGCCGUGUUAAGCCACUAGGGGGGACUUUUAAAAUCAAGAGCACCAAACACAAACGCUCCUGGGGCCAGACAGGUUACGUGAGAGCAGUGUGGUUGAUGGGAGACAACAGGGAGUGGUGGAGACUGUGGCAAAUUGGAGCCCACACCCCAAUAGAGAGGGUGGCCACAGUCACCUCCAACAAUUAUUACUGCAUGGGAAUAUGACCUAAUAUGGCCCAGAAUCCUAACUUUUCUAGACUUUUCUAGAAGCUGGAAGUUUAGAUGCAUAUAAAACAUCCUCCUCAUCAGAUGGUAGCAACUCAUUCAUGCUGCUCAAUUCCAUACACCUGUCAUUGGACUUGACCUAGGGGCCACAAGUUUGCAAUCUCUGUCCAUUUGUUCAAUUAACGAGCAUUUAUUGAGCGCCUACUGUGUGCCAGGCACAGACGAGGCACAGCCUAGAGAAAGGGGGGAGGGGAGAGUAAGUCCCCAGCAGGGACCCAGAGAAACAGGAUGGGAUGGGAGGUCCAGGCUGUCAGAAGCCCCCUUGCUGCGCCCCCACGUCACCCAGCAUGGCGGCUGGCCCUGGGCUGAUGAACAGGCCAGGGUUUCCCCCGUCCUCACCCAGUCUGUGUGCAGAGACAGCAGCACCUCCCUCUCAGGCAGCCCCCUAGCCUCCAGGCCUUUGUAAGGAUUUACCGGGGGGAUAUUUCCCUUGACGUUGCCUGCGGAAUCAUUAAAUGCCCAACUGCUCACUAAUGACUGUGCCCGGGAGCGAAACCGUUAAUCUAAACGACGAAAUCACAGCAGCUCACCUGCGCCAUCGCGACAAACGAGCAAAGAGGCAGCCCUGUCGCCCACCUGAGCCCCUGCCGCCCGGGCAGACAGGGCCCUGCAGGAGGGGCCGGGCAGGGUUGGCCAGGAGGGAGGGCGGAGGCGGGACCGGAGGGCAGAGACUGGCGGUCUGAGCACCCCUGGGCUGGGGACGCAGCUGAGCAUGUCUUUCUGUGGUGGGUCCUACUCUGGGCCCAGACCAGUGUUCACGGCAUGGCGCGGAGUAGCCAGGCAGGACGGGAAUCCUGCUCCUGCUGUGUGUCCUGGGGUCAGUGACUCCCCCUCUCUGGCUGCCCUGUCCCCAUCCGUGAAAUGGGCUAAUAGAACGUGCACCUCUGAGAGUUCUUCACGACGUCCCAGGUGUGUAAACGCUGAGCAGGCCUCGGUCCUGCGUCAUCACUGCUGGUGGGGAAGCAGGUCCCACAGGCCCAGCGGAGGCGGCGGAGGGUGGGGGGGCGCAUCUGUCCGUCAUUCAUCGCUUCUCUUCCACGCGGUCCCGCCGGACUGUAGCUGUAGGUUCCCUGGCUGCGGGACGCGCUCACAUUCCUGCCUGCCUGACCGAGCGUCCAUCGAGGAGCAGUCGGAGAUUCCAGAGCCAGCCGGGAGCAAAGGGGGGCUGGGGUGAGGGGGCUGCCAGAGCCCUCAGCCAGGGGUGUCAGCCCUCCUGGCCGAGCUGAUAAGAUGCUGAUAAGGUGUGGGAAGGGUGGGCCCACCCAGGGCUCAUGCGUGCACGUCCACAGCCCGUGCAUGCACACCCACAGUCCAUGCACACACACCCACACAGCCCACAUACACACACCCACAGUCCAUGCACACACACCCAGGCCACCUCACGGCUGCCCUCAGCCCUGAGUUCUCUGGACAGUUGUGGUCACCAACGGGAUGCUUUUGGCUGCAAGGAACAGAAAAUCUAACUCAAAAAUGCCUCCAACCAGGAGUCAGCAAGCUGCUGCUCAGGGCCCGGCUCUCUGUUUUUGUUAAUAAAGUUUUAUUGGAACAGUCAUGCCCAUCCGUUUGUGUGCUGUCUGGCAGGCGAUCGUCUGGUCUGUAAAGCCUGAAAUAUUCACUAUCUGGUCCUUUAUGGGAAAAGUUUGCUGACCGAGCCCUGGCUUCAGGGAUGAAGGAGACGUGUGCCAUCGUCUGGCGAGGGCUCAGAAUGGAGGUGGUGCACCGUCAUCUGUGACCGUGCAGCCAUCCCUAGUUUAGGGCCUUGACACACAGGCAUCAUUGAUGGCCUCAAGUUCCUGUGAGCUGUGAAUUCGAGAGUGGCUCUGCGGGCAUCUCGAGCUCAAGGGGUCUGGGCGGCUGCGGCUGGAGGUCCUGGUGGUCACGCUGGAUCAUCUGAAGGCCAUCCUCAUUCACGUGCCUGGCACCUGGGCUGGGGAGACAAACAGCUGGCGCACCUCGUGUCUCCCCCCAUCUGGAGGUUUUCCUUCCAGCAUGGCGGCCUCAGGAAAGCCAGCCUUCUCACUCUGUGGUUCACAGCCGGGUGUCCCGAGUGUGUCCCGGGAGAGAGCAGGUGGAGGUGAGACCACCUUUUAUGACCAAGCUGCAAAGUCAUACAGCUUCACCUCCUCUGCACCCCCUGGUCGAAGCAGUCACAAAGGCCCACCCGGGUUCAAGGAGGGUGCCGAGAACCCCCCUCCCCAGGGCCUCAGCACAGUCACAAAGAACCCAGGAACUUCCAUCUUUCUACUGUGCUGCCCUUGCUCUGUGCUCGGUUAAUUGUCCCAUGGUCACAAAAUGGCUGCUGCAGAUCCGGCAUGUUAGGCAAACACAGCAAUGUCUAACAGAAGAAAAGGAACCUCUCUUGACCUUGUGUCUCUCUUUUGUCCCCAACAUUUUUGUUGAAAUAUAAGAUACAUACAAAGAGUGCGUGAAUCAGAAGUACACAGAGCACUAUACUUCCAAAAGUGAGCACAUCCUUGUGGUCAACACCCAGACAACAUGAUCUGAAGCAUCCUGAAGCCCUCUCACCCCUCCCCAGCCACGACCCCACCACUCUCCUCAAAGGUUGCCACUAUCCUGAGCUCCAUCCCCGCAGCCGAAUCUUGGCUGUUUUUGCAUUUUCUAUGAGUGGAAUCAUAGAGCAGUCGCUCGUGUGUCUGGCUUUCGUGGCUGACAUGGUACUCACGGGCUCCCUCUACACCGGUGAUGCAGGUGCAGGCGGCUCGUUCAUCGCCAUCGUAUUGCAUCUUGAACCGCACGGUUUACUCACUGUCUUCCCGCUGAGAGACAUCCAGGCUGCCUGGGCGACUGUGGAGAGAGCCUUGGUCAGCGCACGAGUGGAUGCUCCCUCAGGAAAUAUGGGUGCUGGGUGCAAAGCGAGGAGCAGAAUUGCUGGGCUGGAGGGCAGGCAAAGCUCAGCCUUAGUAGAACCCUCCAAACCGUCUCCAAAGUGGCCGACAACGUCCCUGGCCCCAGGUCCAGGAGCCCCAGCCCAGCCGCGUCCAGGCUCCGGUGUCGUCCAGCCCUCAGCACCCCUCUUCGUUCCUGCCUUCCGGGGUCCAGAACCAUCAGCUCCCAGGCGGGCUGUACACACAAGACCUUGUCACCUCCGGGGACCACAGGGGUGCAAAUGACACAUCAAUAAAGGAUCUCCAACCUACAGAUUUCAAAAGGGGGUUAUUUUGUAGGACAAUAGAAAGGGUGUUUAUUGCAAGACGUUUAGAAAAAACUUACGAGUCCAAAGAAGAAAAUAAAAGUCUUCUGUCGGCUCAUGGCGGUGCAACCAGCCACUGACCUUUCAGUGUAUUUCUUUCCAGUCUGUCUUCCAGGCAUUUUUUUUUUGUCGCUAACUUUUAUAACAUCCUUCCUAUAUGCCAAGCCCUGGUUUGUAAGCAUUUCACAUGUAUCAAUUCAUUUAACUUUCAGAAAAUCUAUUCAAGUGGCUGCUAUCAUUCUCCUCCCUUUACAGAUGAGGAAAAUGAGGCCCAGAGAGGUAAAGUGACUUGCCCAACAUCACACAGCUGUUCACGGGUAGAGCAAAGACUCACACUCAGCUCUCUCGGCCCAAUUUUGCUUUUAGCUACUCAGCGUGCUUCUCUCGGCCUUGUUCUUCCUCGCUGGAGUCAGGGGUGAGAGGGGACAGAUGGUGGAUUAGCGGUCCUGACUUCAGGGCUCUGCAGCCCCCUCCUCCUGGUCUCCUGGGGUCAGGCCACAAAUGGCACCUCCUGGUCGCUGGUCACGUGCCUAACUCAGGGGCUCCAGCCUCAGGACGGUGGUCACAGAGAGCCGGCCCAGCCCCCUUGCUUCCCGGCCACAGGGCCCCCGCAGAAGCAGACGUGGAUGCUCACCUGUCCACGGCCAGGCGCCUCUCUGCCUCCGAAGAUAAAGAUCUGUUGGCUGCCAAGGGGACUGCUGGGACCCGCCAGGCCAUUACUCACCCGGGCGAUGAAUAGACAGCCAGUCAUGCUGCCCGGGGCCGUGUCAUGUCCCCUCCCCUUCCGUGCAUGCUGGGUCACGGACGCAUUCCUGGCGCAUCUCGGGCGCCCCAGGGGGUGCUGGCGCCUGGCAGUUCUGGCUCGUGCACACGCAGCGAGCGCCAGCCUCUCCAAGGCCAGGGUCGGGAGCUGCCCACACUGCCCACUCCCCAGGCCACAGCCUCGGGCCGGGCCAGCCUCCGGGGCCCUGGGUUCCUCGUCUGGAAAGUGGGUGUCACGAGACGUGUUUCAUCAGCACAAGCUCCAUCCAGGCGGGCUGCUCCGCGAUGUCACGCGCCACCGAGAAAACGCUCUGCCACUUACGCUCCGCCAGCCCCCAGUCGUCAGAAAUGUCCGGUCUCAGCGACGGGGAGAGGGGCCCCGAGAGCUGGCGAGCUCGUGCCACCCCAGCCCCGCAGGCUGUGGAGCAGAGGGGUUGAGACGGAAGGCACUCAUGGCCGGACUCCACACUGCUGUGCUGUCACGAGCACGUCCUCCUCGACUUUCUCCUAUUUUGUGGCAAUGGGUAGCCGGGGGCACCGCCCCAUGGAGACAUCCCCGUUCCCUCUGCUGUGAUGAAGGGCCGGAGCUGAUGGCCACACAGUGUCCCGGGCAGACGUCACUGAUGGAUCCCAGCUCUCUCUCCGCCGAGCUUGCACACGACCUCAGGACGCUCAGCCUGGACCUCCAGGCGGCCUCGCCCGGUGGCUGGGACCGGGCACAGGAUAAAAGCUCCUGGCGGUGCCCAGUCCAGCCCCUGGCCCUCACUGCGUGCCGGGAAAACGGAAGCCCAGUGAUGGGAAGGAACCGGAACUCAGGCCCGGCUCCCAGCCCACAGUCUCGCCUCAAAGGCAUGGCGACGGGGGAGGACCCAACAGGUGUCUGGUCACAGGAAUUAAACAAACAAAACCGAAGAGAGAAGCAAGGGCGUUUUAGCUGCACUGGUGAAAGCUGGGUUGGGCGUGAGGGAAAAACUCACCACUCCAAGGGCGGCUAGACGUUUAGAAAAGUCGCUCAGGGAGUUUCCAGUGUCUUUCCUUGCAGGACUUUAAAAAUAGUCCCAAAAAGAAAAUCGUCCCGAUUAAGCGCCAUGUGCCCAGGAGGCGCCCACAGGGCUCCGGGUUCGUCAUUCGUCGGUAUCAAGAGUUUGCUGAGCAUCAGCUACGGGCCAGGCAGACACUGGCCGUUGAUUAAGCAGCAAACAUGGCGGCCAGAACCCGCGCCUCCGUCUCCGUCCAAGCUCCGUGCCCGUGUGCCGCGGGGAGGCCCAGCCUGCGGGCUGGACGCGGCUCCGUCACAGCCGGUGGAUUCGUUUCCCACGUAGAGAAACCAAAGAGCUGAAACCUGACGGCUGAAGCCAGCAAUAAAUAAGCAGUGACGAUCUCACGCGGCUUCUGCGGGUCAGGGAUCCAGAGCGGCUGCACCCGGGGCUCUGCUUUUGGGUCUCGCGAGGAUGUCAGCCAGGCCGCAACAGCAACAGACCCCAGACCAGGUGGCUUAGCAGAAAUGUGUUGUUUCACGGUUCCAGAGGCUGGAAGUCGGAGGUCGGGGGCAGCAGGCUGCUUUCUCCUGAGUCCUCUCUCGUUGACCUGCAGACAGCCGCACCCUCCCCGUGUCCUCCGCGGUCUUCCCUCUGCGCGCAUCCCUGCUCUCUCUUCCUUAUCUUCUGAGGACACCGGUCCUACUGGAUCAGGGCCCACCCUAACAGCCCCAUUUUAACUCUUGCCUCUUUAGAGGCCCUGUCUCCAAAGCAGCCACAUUCCCAGGAACUGGGGUCAGGGCUCCAACGCAGGAAUUUGAGGCGACCCAAGUCUCCCCACAACAGCAACCUCAGAUCCUCACGGGCUGUUGGUGGGCAGCCCAGAUCGCUGCUCCCAGCUCUGCAGGGAGUGGCCCCAGCACUGCCCGCUCCCCCGGGGAAGCUGCAGCCCCAAAGGGGUCAAACCUCAUCUCACCAACCUUUAGAUCUGAAUGCUUUUCACACAGGGUGCAGCCCGAGUCAGUCAGUAAUUCAAUCAACAAACAUUCGCACUCCUGAGUGCCCAAGAGCUGGGGAGGCCAAGGCAAAAACCGGGGAGUCACAGCCUUUGAGGAGCUCACGGUUCUUCAGGUGGGACAGAAAAGCAAGUGUCCCAGCCCCGGGUGGAGCAACGAUAUUUAAAAACACAGUCGCUUCUCCCGGAGCACCCGCUGUGCACCAGGCUCCGUGCCAGGCUCUUCACACAGACGAACUCACUGAACCCUGGGGAGGUGCUGUUGUCACUCCCACUUCACAGACGAGGAAACUGAGGCACAGAGGAUGAGUCCCCCGCUUCAGGUCCUGUCGCAAAGAGUCGGGUCUCCAGGCCAGGUGCGCAGCUCCCGAUCCCAAGAUCCCCACAGGCUGAGGCUGCGACGGGGGCUCUCAGUGAGCGGGGAAGCCACGACCACGGCUCACGCCAGCAGAUCGGCAACAGUUACAGAGCCACAGCGGGUGCUGACGACGAUGGGAGCCGCGAGGUCCUCAUGCAAGCCGUGGGUGCAGGCGCUGCCGAGGGCCACCUCCUGCCCGGGUGCUGGGCGGAACUGUGUGCUCCGUUCCAGGAGGGGAGGGGGCCCAGCAUGCUUGGAGCAUCUAUUUAUGGAGCACCUACUAUGUGCCGGACCUGAGGCUACACUGUCAGGGCCACGGAGAGCAAGACACGUGACCUCUGUCCCCAGGGGCUCGCGGACAAGCGGGAAAGGUGGAGAUGAAACGGGCGGUUGCCACACGGGGCAGCACCUGGUUCCAGGAAGGCGCCGGAACAGGGAGACCCACACGAAGGGAUUGGGGAGUGACCGCCGUCUGCACUCCUCUCUCCUACACACCCGAGGCCGCGCUCUCCGCGCUUUAACUCCCUCACUCCGUCGUCUGAGCAAUGCCAGGAGGUCGGUGCUGUUUCUGUCCCCAUUUCACAGAUGGUGAAACUGAGGCACAAGCUUCAGGAACUCGCCCAAGGUUACAGUUCCAGCGGCAGAGCUGGGAUUCGAACCCAGGUGGUCUGACUCCACAAGCCCCUAAGCCUGACUCCGGUCUGCACCCAGAGGGACUGGUUUUCAAGAUGAGUCCUGAAAGAUGAGCAGGGUUAAUCAUGGCUUUCCCCAGGAGAGCAGGGAACAGCAUUUUCACCAGAGGGACCAGCGUGUGCUAACGUUCCAGCUGGAAAGCAGCUGGGGUGUGGGAGGGGCUGAAGGCUGGGGCACAGUGAGGGGGGCCAGAGUGGCACAGAGGGGUACCCGCUGAGCCCCAGGGGCCAGGUGCGGGCUUCGGACCUGCCCUCGACCUCAGCUUCAUCACAAGCAAUUCUAUUGCUCUCUGCUGCGUGUGGCGAGAGCUCUGCGGUUGCGAGGGGAUGGACUGGAAUUACGAGCGGUCAGUCUUUCUGCACUGAAUCCUUUCUCCUUCAUCCAAGUUCAAGGAGAGUCUCCAAACCACAGAGCCCGAGAACGGGGCCGCUACGACACCGACACAAGCAGUCGCGCUUGCCCGUUCCAUGCAGACCCCUUGUUGUGUCCCGGCCUGCUGCGGCGUGUGCUGGGCGCUUCCACGGCCCCCAGGGCCUCCGCCCCCUCCCCAGGGCCCACGGAGGGCACCCGGCCUCCCAGAAGCGGCGUCUGCCUCGCCCACCCCGGCUGCGCCGGCAGGGAGCAGCCAUCCCACGCCCCCACCCGAGCUGCACGCGCCCAGGAGACACAGCGGCUGCGAGCGAGCGAGGCGGUGGAGACGGUGCUGUUUAGCGAAAGUGUCAUUUCAUCACUCGCUGCCUUUGAAACCUGCUGGGGGAACAGAGACGGGAGAAAAGAGGACGCCCCCAGAAACACACGCCCCAGGGAUGGGGCGCGCUGGGUGGGCGUGUGAGCGGCAAGCACACGCCCACACACACACACUCACGCGCAUACACGUCGCAUUCUCAUGUGACUGGCUCGCGGUGCCAACACGCUCUCCUCCCCAGUGUCGUGGCGGAGAGCUGGGACUCGGGAGCCGGGCGGUCCCGGGUUCAAAUCCUGGCUCUGCCACUUGUUAGCUGAGUGUCCUCAAGCAAGGAACUCGCCCUCUCUGAGCCCCCUAGGCCCCAGUCAUAAAUGUAGGUGGUUACUUGCAAUGACGUCACGCUGUUCCUCGUCGCUCCGUGUCUGCUGGGCUGGCCCGCGCCAGCACCAUGAGCAGACCCCGACCCUCGGGCCCCCGGUUGGGGCUGACCAGUGGGCAGCACCAGAACAGAAGGGAGCGUGGAGGAGAGUGGGGGUACUUAUGCCCCCGGCUCCCAGCCUGCAGGGUGAGGUCUGGUGGUGGCCGUGUCCCUCUCCUGAAGGCCCCACAUCCCCCCGCGCAGCCCUUUCUUAAGCCUUCCGACAUCGCAGUCUCCCGUCGCCGCAGAGACGGCGACCGCAGGCUGGGCGGCUGACAGCAGCUCCCGUCUGCGAUCCUACGGCUCCGGACGUCAGGCGUCUGCAGUGGGUCCCACUGGGCUGGAGCCGAGCUGUCGGCUGAGCUCUGAUCCUCCUGGAGGCUCCAGGGGAGACGCCUUCGCUCACCUUUUCCUAAACGCCGCCCAGAGCCUCGGCUCGGGGCCCUGCCUCCGUCUUCAGAGCUCUCUGACCCUCAGCUCCCGCCUCCCUCUUCCCCUCCUCGAGCCCAGCCGAUGAGCCAAGACAACCUUGCCAGUUCCGGGGCGGCCGACCGGCAGCCUCGAUUCCACCCCCGGCCUGUGCUCCCCUCGGCCAUGUGGCCCCACAGGGUCAGGCGCCAGGAACUAGGGUGUGGCCAUCUCUGCAGUUCUGCCUGCCUGCUGUCUGACUGGCGCGCUGCCCGUCCCUCCGCUCAGGCCUAGGGGCAGGAGGGGAACCCUGUGAUGCUGGCCUCACCUCCUGCAGCUCCCUCAGCCCCGUCCACCCGUCUGGACAUCAUCCCUGCUCUUCCUCUCCCCAGGACCCCCGCUGGAGCUUCCCUGGCAGGGACCUGACGAGCGCCUCUUAGAACUGUCUGCGGAAUAAAUGAGAUGUCCCACGUGCCUGUAACACCCAGCUCGUGGCAAGUGCUCAGCAUGCUUUAUCAUCAUCCUUUUUUAUUUCCCUUACUAGAUCCAGAACCCCACGACUGUGGGAACUACCUAUUUUUGUCUCAUUUUCACUAGCCCAGCUGCUGACAAAGAAUAUGUGAUCAAUUAUUCGUUUAACAAACAUUUAUUGAGCACCGAGUAGACCCUGGAUAGACGGAGACAGAGUGAGAAAAUUUGACCCCAACUUGCCUUCAGGAAGCUUCUGGUCUAGCGAGGGAGACAGCAGCACGCCAGUCAUCAGAGAAACACGAUUACCAGACCCACAGCCCCUCCCUGAUACUCACGGAACAUCUCCUCCCGGCCGUCACCGCGCCGGGCUGGUCAGAGUCCUGAGGUGGGCGACUCGCGACUCCUCCUCGUGUCUCUGACUCUUAGAGUGGGGACGGGGAGGGCGAGCUCUGGAAUCUGCUUACGUCGUAAUCCCUAUUUUGUUAACCCCGCGUAUGAACACGAGCAAGAGGAAAAAGUUACCUUUUAUACUCUUUUAAACAACUUUUUAAAUAAAUUUUGAACCUCCGUAGAAAAUAAAAAGCGUGAGCUUCCCGUCGCUGCUGUCACAGAUUGCCAUAAAUUUAGCGGCUUCAACAACACGGAUUUAUUCUCCUCCAGGCUGGAGGUCGGCAGUCCUAAACCGGCUUCCACAUUGGAGGAGGCCCCGGCAGGGCUGUGCCCUCUGAGGCCCUGGAGGGGACCGGCUCGGCCUUUCCCGCCGGGAGGCCACCUGCGUCCCGUGUCGAGUGACCCUCCGCGUGUCCCUCCAGCGUCCUGCUCCCAUCAUCUCAGCCGCUCCUUCCUCUCCCACAGUCAGCUCUCUCCACCCCCUCUCGCCAGGACACUUGCAGCCACGUGUAGGCCUGGCCCUGGCCACCCAGGACGACGCCCCGCCUCAGGAGCCUGUGGCCACGUCAGGCUCCGGGGAUCAGCAUGGGGACAUCUCCUGGGGCCACGAUCCUGCCUCCCGCGUCUUCUGUGGCCCCUCCGAGCCGACGCAGGCGGGCUCGCUGCAUCCUCUCCAGCCUGGCGGGCACGUGCAGAGCCG
ensembl:lncRNA